rnacentral:ncRNA from 1 species
UAAAAGUUUGAUUCUAGCUUCAAGAUUAAUACUACUUUGAUAAUACACAUGCAAAACUCUUAAACCUGUGAGAAUUUAUUUAUUAAAAAUAUCCAUUUAUAUAAUCAAGAAUUACUAUUUACAAUAUAAACACCUCACGCCUGCAGUGUAUAAUACUUAUCCAUUAAUUAAAGUUAGAUUAGGUCAAAUUACAUUAGGUUGGCAAAAUCUGUGCCAGCAGUCGCGGUUACACAGAAAACUUUAUUUAAUCUAUUUAGGAUAUGAAUAAAGAGGUAAUUCUACUUUAUAAGGAGUUUAAUCCAAUAAUCUUGUUAUUCAAUAAACCUCAUUAAUUUUCGAAAGUAUAGACCAAAACAAGGAUUAGAUACCCUUUUAUUCUAAACUAUAAAAUCAAUUCCUGGGCACUACGAACUCAUGUUUAAAACCCAAAGAACUUGGCGGCAAUCUAACCUCUUAGGGGAACCUGUAAUUUAAUUUGAUAAUCCACAUUCACCUCUCUCUAAUUUGACCCUCAGCAUGUGUACUGCCGUCGCCAGUUUACCUUUUAAAAGCUAGUAAACUAACAAAUUAAUUCAUUUUUACGUCAGGUCAAAGUGCAGCUUAUAUUAGAGUAUUUAUGGGUUACAAUCUAUAUAUAGACAUGGAUAAAAAAAUGAAUAUUUUUUUUUAAGGUGGACUUAAUUGUAAAAAUAAUAAAAAUUCUAUUUUGAACAACGGAAAUCUAGAUUGUGCACAAAUCGCCCGUCACUCCCUUCUAAAGAAGGGAUAAGUCGUAACAUAGUAGGGGUAAUGGAAAUUGUCCCUAC